rnacentral:piRNA from 1 species
UGUUAAGAGGGAANCUUCAGCUUGUAGGC